AAGAGCAAGCCAGCCACAGCGAGCACGGUCUGAGUGAGGUCUGCCAGGAGCCUGGGAAGGGGGAAGGUGAAGCGCCUGCCUGGCCUCAGGCUCCGGGAGCGUGGGUACGGAUCGCCUCCUGCAGUCCCUCCUUGGGGGCGAGGUCUCGUUACCCACCCGAACAGCUCCAGGGACCUGAGAGCGGAAAGAACCCCAGAACUGGGCUUCCCUAGGCGCUGUCUUAGGCACAUUGGCGCAAGAGCCAUGCCCUGGCACAGGAAGGAUCUUGGUGGGGAGCAGAGGAAAGGAGAUGUUUGGGCUCUGAGCCACGUUACCUGAAGGUAUGGCGAAGCUUCUCUCCCAGUGGGUACGUCCGGUUCUUCUUCUCAAACUCAUCAUCAAAGAGGGCAUGGAGUGUUGAAGGUGAGAAGACUCCAGGAGUUCUCCCAGUCCUAGGUCUGUCUGCAUCACAGAACACUGUGGGCAGAGAUGGGCUUGGGCAGAGCGCCCCGGUUAAUGCGUGGAAAGGCUUGGAAUGGUGCCAGGCUGUGGAGGCGAUAGAGGACUGGCUAGGAGCCUGGCAAAGGGGAUGUGGAGGAGAAGACGGCAGUGCAGGCAUCUGAGAUGCUGUGCUCCAGGCAGCUGCUGGUGGGCCGCCCUGCUCCCAGGAGUGGGAAGUGAAGGGGGAGGAAAUCUGAUCCCUCUCAUCACAGAGCCUGGGAAACCAAUUCAGUUCCUGCCCUCAAAUAUUCAGUGUCCUCAGACACAGAGACCUUUGUGACCAACUGUGGGACAACGUUGAAUGUACUACACAGAGAUACGGACCAGGACCCACCGUGACAACGAGGCAAGAGCAGUGAAUCCUACAAUCCCUGUGUCGGGACAGCAUUCUUCAGGUCGUGGAUCGUGUGUCCCUCCACAGUUCAUCUGACUGCCUCCCAGGCCUUUAAAGUAGGCAAGGCAGGCUUCAGUAGCUGCAUUUUACAAUAAGAGAACAGAGGCCCAAAGAGGUGACAGUAUUAGGUGGAGCCUUUGAGAGGUGACUAGUCAUGAGGUUGGAGCCUUCAUGAGUGGGAUUCAUGCCCUUAUGAAAGAGGCCCCAGAGAGCACACCCACCCUUUCCACCAUGUGAGGACACAGCGAGAAGUCAGCAGUCUGCAGCCUGGAAGGGGGUCUUCACCAGAACCUGACUAUGCUGGCACCCUCAUCACAGACUUCCAGCCUCUAGAACUACGAGAAAUACAUUUCUGU